rnacentral:rRNA from 1 species
AGAGUUUGAUCAUGGCUCAGAACUAACGCUGGCGGCGCGUCUUAAACAUGCAAGUGGAACGGAAAGGCUCCUUUCGGGGAGUACUCGAGUCGCAAACGGGUGAGUAACACGUGGGUAAUUUGCCCUAGAGUUGGGGAUAGCCCCAGGGAAACCGGGAUUAAUACCGAAUACGAUCUGUUUUUCAUAAGAAGAACAGAUUAAAGGUGGGGAUCUUUUAGACCUACCGCUUUAGGAUAAGCCCGCGCACCAUUAGCUUGUUGGUAGGGUAAGAGCCUACCAAGGCUACGAUGGUUAGCCGGCCUGAGAGGGUGAACGGCCACAUUGGGACUGAGAUACGGCCCAGACUCCUACGGGAGGCAGCAGUUAAGAAUAUUGGACAAUGGGGGCAACCCUGAUCCAGCGACGCCGCGUGAGCGAUGAAGGCCUUCGGGUUGUAAAGCUCAAUAAACAGGGAAGAAUAAGCAAUCUCUAAUACAGGUUGCGAUGACGGUACCUGUCAGAAGCACCGGCUAAUUACGUGCCAGCAGCCGCGGUAAUACGUAUGGUGCGAGCGUUGUUCGGAAUUAUUGGGCGUAAAGGGCGUGUAGGCGGGAGAUUAAGUGGGAAGUGAAAACUUAGGGCUCAACCCUAAGCCUGCUUUCCAAACUGAUUUUCUUGAGUACAGGAGGGGCAAGGGGAAUUGGCAGUGUAGCGGUGAAAUGCGUAGAUAUUGCCAAGAACACCAGUGGCGAAGGCGCCUUGCUGGCCUUGUACUGACGCUGAUGCGCGAAAGCGUGGGUAGCGAACGGGAUUAGAUACCCCGGUAGUCCACGCCGUAAACGUUGUGUACUAGGUGUUGGAAGAUUCAACCCUUUCAGUGCCGUAGCUAACGCAUUAAGUACACCGCCUGGGGAGUAUGCGCGCAAGCGUGAAACUCAAAGGAAUUGACGGGGGCCCGCACAAGCGGUGGAGCAUGUGGUUUAAUUCGAUGAUACGCGAAAAACCUUACCUGGGCUUGACAUAAGCUGGAUCGGUGUAGAGAUACACCUUUCUUCGGACUAGUUUACAGGUGCUGCAUGGCUGUCGUCAGCUCGUGUUGUGAGAUGUUGGGUUAAGUCCCGCAACGAGCGCAACCCUUGUUCUUGGUUGCUACCAGGUUUAGCUGGGCACUCGAAGAAGACUGCCGGUGACAAGCCGGAGGAAGGUGGGGAUGACGUCAAGUCCUCAUGGCCUUUAUGUCCAGGGCUACAUACGUGCUACAAUGGCUGGUACAGAGGGAAACGAAGUCGCGAGACGGAGCUAAUCCUUUAAAGCCAGUCUCAGUUCGGAUUGGAGUCUGCAACUCGACUCCAUGAAGUUGGAAUCGCUAGUAAUCGCGGAUCAGCAUGUCGCGGUGAAUACGUCCCCGGGCCUUGUACACACCGCCCGUCACACCACUUGAGUUGAUAGCGCCCAAAGUGGCCGAGCUAACACUUCGGUGAGGCAGGUUACUAAGGUGAGAUCAGUGAAAGGGGUGAAGUCGUAACAAGGUA